rnacentral:rRNA from 1 species
GACGAAUGCUGGCGGCGUGCCUAAUACAUGCAAGUAGAACGCUGAAGGAGGAGCUUGCUUCUCUGGAUGAGUUGCGAACGGGUGAGUAACGCGUAGGUAACCUGCCUGGUAGCGGGGGAUAACUAUUGGAAACGAUAGCUAAUACCGCAUAAUAGUAGAUGUUGCAUGACAUUUGCUUAAAAGGUGCAAUUGCAUCACUACCAGAUGGACCUGCGUUGUAUUAGCUAGUUGGUGGGGUAACGGCUCACCAAGGCGACGAUACAUAGCCGACCUGAGAGGGUGAUCGGCCACACUGGGACUGAGACACGGCCCAGACUCCUACGGGAGGCAGCAGUAGGGAAUCUUCGGCAAUGGACGGAAGUCUGACCGAGCAACGCCGCGUGAGUGAAGAAGGUUUUCGGAUCGUAAAGCUCUGUUGUAAGAGAAGAACGAGUGUGAGAGUGGAAAGUUCACACUGUGACGGUAUCUUACCAGAAAGGGACGGCUAACUACGUG